CUAGAAAGGUCUAAAAUUCCCUUUCACUUUUUUAUAUUGGAUGGUUCCACUGGUGGGUCACUAGAAGGGAGAACGGUCCUUUGGCAGGGUGGCUCCAUGCAGGGAGCUAAGGAAUCAUCCCACUGCCCUCAUCCAGCCAAGGAGCAUCGAAGAGAAGCUGUCCUGACCCCACCUUUCCCAGCCUCUUUGUUCCUGGGGAUAGGACUUUCUCAAAGUCAAUCUCUCCAGGUUGAGACUUGCUCCCCAGCCC
rnacentral:lncRNA from 1 species